CCUACGGGUGGCAGCAGUGGGGAAUAUUGCACAAUGGGGGAAACCCUGAUGCAGCGACGCCGCGUGAGUGAAGAAGUAUUUCGGUACGUAAAGCUCUAUCAGCAGGGAAGAAAAUGACGGUACCUGACUAAGAAGCCCCGGCUAACUACGUGCCAGCAGCCGCGGUAAUACGUAGGGGGCAAGCGUUAUCCGGAUUUACUGGGUGUAAAGGGAGCGUAGACGGCAGCACAAGUCUGGAGUGAAAUGCCGGGGCUUAACCCCGGAACUGCUUUGGAAACUGUGCAGCUGGAGUGCAGGAGAGGUAAGUGGAAUUCCUAGUGUAGCGGUGAAAUGCGUAGAUAUUAGGAGGAACACCAGUGGCGAAGGCGGCUUACUGGACUGUAACUGACGUUGAGGCUCGAAAGCGUGGGGAGCAAACAGGAUUAGAUACCCCUGUAGUC
rnacentral:rRNA from 1 species